UGCCAGCAGCCGCGGUAAUACGAAGGUCCCAAGCGUUGUUCGGAAUCACUGGGCGUAAAGGGUGCGUAGGCGGAUUGGAAAGUUGGGGGUGAAAUCCCGGGGCUCAACCCCGGAACUGCCUCCAAAACUAUCAGUCUAGAGUUCGAGAGAGGUGAGUGGAAUUCCAAGUGUAGAGGUGAAAUUCGUAGAUAUUUGGAGGAACACCAGUGGCGAAGGCGGCUCACUGGCUCGAUACUGACGCUGAGGUGCGAAAGUGUGGGGAGCAAACAGGAUUAGAUA
rnacentral:rRNA from 1 species